rnacentral:lncRNA from 1 species
UUUGGUAUGUUUGUGAAUCUCAGAUUUCUACUGAUUGAAGAUAUGUUGUUUUCUUUAGAGCCACAGUUCUCUCUACGGCCCUUGGUUAAUCUCAGGACCUUGAUAUUAGAUGGUUGUGAGAUUACUCAUGUUUCCCAAACAAAUGCUAGUUUUUUCCCAGAAAACCUGGUAGCUCUAUACAUUUGGAAUUGCGAUCUCCCACGGCCACUGAAUUUACCAAUCCUGAAACAUCUUAGAAAGCUCGAAAUCCAAGGGUGGAGGAGCAAUAAUAUCCAAAUGGUGCCAAAUACUGUAUCCAGUAUGCCCAGUCUACAGGAAUUGCACAUACCAGGUGGAUACAANUCACCUUUUUCCUACUACAUCUUUGUUUUCGUUAGCAAUUUUUUAAGUCCCUGCAUCAUUCACUUGCUUCUAACUUUCAUAUUCAAGAAAUUCUCCUUUCUCCAGCCCUAUUUCUUCCUAUUCUCUCUUGGUAUUCAUUUCAUUGCAUCUUCAUCACCUUUUUCUUCUACAUCUUUGUUUUUUUCUUAAAUUCAAGCCAAAAUUAAUAAAAAAGGGGUUGAAAAGCAAGGAUAAUUAUGGUUGGUCUAUCUGACAUUCCCUGUGUGGGAAAGAACGUGGACAGGAUAUCCGAUGCAGCAGUUGACGCACUAUUUCGCGGAUUCAGUUAUAUGUUUUCUUACAAGAAUCAUGUUCAGGUUCUUGAAACCGAAAUUCAGAAACUUGACGCUGAGAUGGAUCGGAUGUCCAGAAAAGUCAGGGAAGAAAAAGAUAAUGGUAAAAUGAUCGUUGAUGGCGUGAGUACAUGGCAGGCAGAUGUAGAAGAAGUCAAGAAGAGUGCUGAAGAAAUUUUAGAAAAAUACAAAAACAGAUCUUCAUGGAGGUGCAUUCAGUGGAUGCCUAUUCCUAAACCAGUCUCCCGAUCCCGAUUGGGUCGGGAGGCAGCACACAAGGCCAAGAGAGUAAUUGAACUCUCUGAUUCUGCAAACAAUCUCUUGGCUAAUGGAAUUGCAUAUGGUUCUCCUGCUGAAAAUGCACCAAACACUGUAUAUCAGACUUUCAAAUCCAGAAGUGAUGCUUAUGACAAGCUAUGGAAAGCGCUUGUAAGUGAAGGUGGUUCUACUGUUCUUGGCAUCUAUGGAAUGCCUGGAGUUGGGAAGACGACAAUGAUGGAGAGUCUAUGGAAGGAAGCCCUUGAGAAAAAAAUCUUCGACAAGGUAACUCGGGCAGAUGUGGGCAAUGAAGACUUGGAUGUAUUUAAAUUGCAAAAACAAAUCGCGGACCAUCUGGAUUGCCAUUUAAAUCCGGAAGAUGAUGAGCAACACAGAGCUUCUCAACUGAAAAAGAGAUUAACGAAUGGAGAGAAGAUCCUCAUUAUACUAGACGAUGUAUGGAAGGAGAUCCCGUUGCAUCGUAUUGGAAUUUCAUUGGGCGAUGGUGAUAGUUCCACUCAUCGUAAGAUCCUUUUGACAUCCCGGAAGAAAAGAGUAUGCAUGGAUAACAAGUGCCUGCAUCCGGUAAAGAUUGCACCUCUUGGACCUGAAGAAGCAUGGCAAAUGUUCAGGAACACUGUUGUUCCUGAUAACAUUUACCUUCUUCCAGACGAAUCCCUGGCACUGGAGGUGUGCAACCAAUGUGGGGGAUUACCACUCCUAAUUCACGCGGUUGGUAAAGCUCUGCAAUUCACAUCUCCUGAUGUAUGGAAGGAUGCACUAAAUCAACUCGUGAUGGGCAACUUUGAAAAAAUUGCUGAUAUAGAUUCGAAUGUAUAUGCCUGUGUCAAACUGAGUUUUGAUAGAUUACCCGACGAUGCCAAGUCGUGUCUUGUUUUGUGUUCCUUGUAUCCAGAAGAUGCUAGCAUUUAUAUCAAUAAGCUGAUCCCGCUAGCAACAGGGUCACGGCUGGUACGCGGUGGAGAAGCUAGAAUACGUUCGAUGGUAGAGAUUCUCAGAUCAUCUUCCCUGUUGCUGGACUCUGAAGAUCAUAUAAUAAAAGUGCAUGACCUCAUCAGAGAUGUAGCUAGAUCCAUAGCCGUCAAAGACCCGAAAUAUUCGUUUUCACUUGUAAGAUGUGGCUCGCUGUUGCCUGAUGAUGUUGACUAUCAUACUCGGAAAUUCUUACGUCUGCAUCUAGAAAAGAAUGAUAUUCUCUUUCCUGAUGGUCUGGUGUGCCAAGACCUGCAUAACUUGUGGCUACAAUGCAACAAACAUGCACAACAAUUCUUAGGUGACUUCUUUGGUAUGUUUGUGAAUCUCAGAUUUCUACUGAUUGAAGAUAUGUUGUUUUCUUUAGAGCCACAGUUCUCUCUACGGCCCUUGGUUAAUCUCAGGACCUUGAUAUUAGAUGGUUGUGAGAUUACUCAUGUUUCCCAAACAAAUGCUAGUUUUUUCCCAGAAAACCUGGUAGCUCUAUACAUUUGGAAUUGCGAUCUCCCACGGCCACUGAAUUUACCAAUCCUGAAACAUCUUAGAAAGCUCGAAAUCCAAGGGUGGAGGAGCAAUAAUAUCCAAAUGGUGCCAAAUACUGUAUCCAGUAUGCCCAGUCUACAGGAAUUGCACAUACCAGGUGGAUACAAGAUUCAAGAUGAUGGAUGUGGAAAAAGUUUGGAUGCUGUUUCGGCACCAAUAUUGGGGGAGAUUAGUAAGUUGACUGGGCUGAAAAGUUUGCAGAUGUUCUUUUUCAGCAAUUCCGAGCAUUUUCAAGAUACAAAUAUAUUUGGUAAUUUACUUCAAUAUAAUAUAUCAGUGGGUGCAAAGCCGCAUGAUCGUCCUCUUAUAGAAUCCAGUGUUUCUAUCAAGAGAUUGAUUGAGCUGCAGGGUAGUGGUUUAGAAAGCUUAAAAGGUCUGAUUGAGAGGGCUGAAGAAGUAUCAUUGGAUUGCACCGACAUUCAUGUGGGUAGCAUAUACAAUAGCAACAGGGAAGCAUUUACAGAUUUGAAAAACUUGUACAUUAGAAAUUGUAACACUAUAGAAUAUCUUGCAAGGAUAUCAUGUGGUGAGAUUCAACAUUCAAGGUCUUUCGCAAAUCUCGGCGUCUUGGAAAUCAAAGAUUGUUCAGCAUUGAAAUACCUCUUCAGCAAAUCCGUUGCAAAAUGUCUCGUGCAACUGCAGGAGUUAGCCAUUGUAAGAUGUCCUGUGAUGGAAGCAAUUUUAAUGAAUGAAGGCACAAGUGAUAGAGAUGGCGUCAUCAGCUUCUGCAAAUUGAAGUUUUUAUCAAUAUAUAAUAUUCCGAGACUCAAAAGCUUCUGCAUGCAAAAUAAAGAUCUGCACUCCGGAUCAACAACACACAACUCCGCUAUCUCGAACAUUCAAGCUCAACCCC